GACGGAGGGUGCAAUCGUUGUUCGGAAUCACUGGGCGUAAAGCGCGUGUAGGCGGUUUGAUAAGUCGAAUGUGAAAGCCCGAGGCUCAACCUCGGAAGUGCAUUCGAAACUGUCGGGCUUGAGUACGGGAGAGGGAAGUGGAAUUCCUGGUGUAGAGGUGAAAUUCGUAGAUAUCAGGAGGAACACCGGUGGCGAAGGCGGCUUCCUGGACCGAUACUGACGCUGAGACGCGAAAGCGUGGGGAGCAAACAGG
rnacentral:rRNA from 1 species